rnacentral:rRNA from 1 species
GACGAACGCUGGCGGCGCGCCUAACACAUGCAAGUCGAACGGAGUUAUGUUGACAGAUCCCUUCGGGGUGACGCUGAUGUAACUUAGUGGCGAACGGGUGAGUAACACGUGAGGAACCUGCCCUUCAGAGGGGGACAACAGUUGGAAACGACUGCUAAUACCGCAUAAGACCACAGAGCCGCAUGGCUCAGAGGUCAAAGGAGAAAUCCGCUGAAGGAUGGCCUCGCGUCCGAUUAGCUAGAUGGCGGGGUAACGGCCCACCAUGGCGACGAUCGGUAGCCGGACUGAGAGGUUGAACGGCCACAUUGGGACUGAGACACGGCCCAGACUCCUACGGGAGGCAGCAGUGGGGAAUAUUGCACAAUGGGGGGAAACCCUGAUGCAGCGACGCCGCGUGAGGGAAGAAGAUUUUCGGAUGUAAAGCUCUAUCAGCAGGGAAGAAAAAAAUGACGGUACCUGACUAAGAAGCCCCGGCUAACUACGUGCCAGCAGCCG